CAGUCGCCGCGGUAAUACGGAGGGUGCAAGCGUUGUUCGGAAUCACUGGGCGUAAAGGGAGCGUAGGCGGCGUGGUAAGUCAGAUGUGAAAUCCCGGGGCUCAACCCCGGAACUGCAUCCGAUACUGCCAUGCUUGAGGGUUGGAGAGGUAGCUGGAAUUCUUGGUGUAGCAGUGAAAUGCGUGGAUAUCAAGAGGAACACUCGUGGCGAAGGCGAGCUACUGGACGACAUCUGACGCUGAGGCUCGAAGGCCAGGGUAGCGAAAGGGAUUAGAUACCCCCGUAGUCCCUGUCUCUUAUAA
rnacentral:rRNA from 1 species